CAAAGGCCAUGUACUAACCAAUCACAGCACUAAGCGGCAUAUUUAAACCCUGUAAUGCCUUUUCUCAGGGCCCUGUCGUGGUUUCCACUUGUUGGUUGUCAGUGAGCGCGAUCUUGGUAUAUUUUUUGGGGUUAUUGACUUUCCCUUCUUCUGGUAUUCUGACCCUUGGCUAGUUAUUCGUAUUGUCUCCUUCUAAUUUCCCUGACCUUGGCUUGUUCUUUGACCAUUCUCUUUUACGUUAAGUCCGGCCAUUCUAAGGUCCGGUAUAUGUAGUUUGUGUUAAUAUAGUUCUGCGUGUUGGGUCACACAGUAAUCGUGACAGCUAGAUACACAUGUAGCAUGUGUAUUAAGCCCUGCCCUCCUUUGCAGCUAUUCGUUCAAUUGGCAAUUGAGCCAGCCGCUCAAAAUAUGUAUGUAUUUUGAAUAAAGAGACUACAUUGUUGAAAGAUCGUGAGUGCAGACAAACUUUGUU